UUUUUGUUUUUUUUUUUUUUUUUUGUUUUUGGCAGGCAAACUUCUCCCAAACCUCUUGUUCUGAGUGAAGCUAAAAAGCAGUUGCUGAUCUACAGACUACCUCAGGUCCUUCGGCUGCACCUUAAACGCUUCAGGCGGUCUGAGCGCAAUCACCGCGAGAAGAUCGGGGUCCAUGUUCUCUUUGAGCAGGUAUUAAACAUGGAACCUUACUGCUGCAGGGACUCUCUGCCCUCCCUUGCCACAGAGACCUUUGUCUAUGACCUCUCAGCUGUGGUGAUGCAUCACGGGAAGGGCUUUGGCUCAGGACACUACACAGCCUAUUGCUACAACACGGAGGGAGGUUUUUGGGUGCACUGCAAUGACUCCAAACUGAAUGUGUGUAGUGUGGAGGAGGUGUGCAAGGCCCAGGCCUACAUCCUCUUCUACACUCAGAGAACGCUGCAGGACAAAGCAGGAAUCCCAGAAAAACAACUCCAAGCUCAGGUUUUUGCCACCCAAAACCAGUGACAAGGACACAAGACUGACAUUGCCAUGAGGGGACAUUCCCAGCUUCUUUUGGGGAACUUUUGGUGUUCAUCUUCCCCUUCUUUGCAGGGAAAACUGCAGGAAUGGGAUCAGGGCAGGAACGGGAUCAGGGUAGGGACGGGAUCCGGCAGGGAUGCGAUCAGGGCAGGAAAGGGAUCGGGGCAUGGAUCAUGGCAGGGACGGGAUCACAGCAGGGAUGGGAUCAGGGCAAGAUAUUUGGAAAACCUUCUGGAGCUGGGCAGUUCCGAUUUGGGGCAGAAUCUUGGGGUUUGAGUGUCUUUUCAGCUCAAAAAAAAAAAAGAAACUAUAAAGUUUGAUGCUGUUCAUUCAUCCCCUAUCAAAGAGGAAUGAGCCCAAGCUGGCAAUGGGAGAAUCCAGCUGGAUCAACACCCUUCAAUCCCUAAAAAUCCUGAUCCAGCUCCAGCUCCAAGAGGAACAGGGCCACCCAAGGGGAGGAAUGUGAAAUCCCAGAUUCCACGUGGAGUUGGAAAAGCUCCAAAACCACAAAGUCUGGAUCUGAAAUCAGAUGGAUUUUGGAAUUCUGUGGGAAAACAGAGCCUUAGUUGGACUAUUUACAGUCACUUUUCAGCCUACAGUUGCACCUCAGGUGUGUUUUUUUGUAAUUUUGGGGCUUGGCUGUUCACGUUUCACAUUUAAAUCUGAAUAUUAGACCUGCUGUCUGUUCAUCUGGGUUAUUUUCUUAAAAAUAAUGGGAAAUAUGAAGGGGGUUUUUUUUGUUUGUUUGUUUGUUUUUGUGUUGAAUUCAGUUUUCAGAUGGGGAAGUUUUCCAAGUGUUUCUCCUCCUCUCUUUUUGCUCCCUUUGUUUCAUCAGGUAAACACAACCUGCCAACAUUUGUUAUUGUGGGGGGUGGGGGAAAGCUCCCAAAUCCCACUUUUUCUUGGGAAUUUUAACCUCCUGUCCUUGGGCAAAAGUGAGCACAGCAAGCAAAAAAACUUGGAUUGUGUCAUAGAAAAAUUCCCAUUUCCCAUAUUCUGCUCAAGAUGUUGCUUUCUGAGCCUAAAAGAAAUGUCCUUUUGAACAAUUAAAUAUAAUUUUGGGGUCAUA